rnacentral:rRNA from 1 species
UGGGGUAUAUUGGACAAUGGGGGCAACCCUGAUCCAGCCAUGCCGCGUGAGUGAAGAAGGCCUUAGGGUUUUAAAGCUCUUUCAGUCGUGACGAUGAUGACGGUAGCGACAGAAGAAGCCCCGGCUAACUCCGUGCCAGCAGCCGCGGUAAUACGGUGGGGGCAAGCGUUGUUCGGAUUUACUGGGCGUAAAGGGCGCGUAGGCGGGGUAUCAAGUUAGGGGUGAAAGCCCGGGGCUCAACCUCGGAACUGCCUUUAAAACUGAUACUCUAGAGUCCGGAAGAGGAGGGUGGAAUACCCAGUGUAGAGGUGAAAUUCGUAGAUAUUGGGUGGAACACCAGUGGCGAAAGCGGCUCUCUGGUCCGGAUCUGACGCUGAGGCGCGAAAGCGUGGGGAGCAAACAGGAUUAGAUACCCCCGUAGUCC